UACGUAGGGCGCAAGCGUUGUCCGGAAUUAUUGGGCGUAAAGAGCUCGUAGGCGGUCUGUCGCGUCCGUUGUGAAAACUCGAGGCUCAACCUCGGGCUUGCAGUGGAUACGGGCAGACUAGAGUGCGGUAGGGGAGACUGGAAUUCCUGGUGUAGCGGUGAAAUGCGUAGAUAUCAGGAGGAACACCGGUGGCGAAGGCGCUCAUCUGGCCCAAUACUGACGCUGAUGCGCGAAAGCUAGGGGAGCAAACGGG
rnacentral:rRNA from 1 species